rnacentral:rRNA from 1 species
GAUGAACGCUGGCGGCGUGCCUAAUACAUGCAAGUCGAGCGAACGGACGAGAAGCUUGCUUCUCUGAUGUUAGCGGCGGACGGGUGAGUAACACGUGGAUAACCUACCUAUAAGACUGGGAUAACUUCGGGAAACCGGAGCUAAUACCGGAUAAUAUUUUGAACCGCAUGGUUCAAAAGUGAAAGACGGUCUUGCUGUCACUUAUAGAUGGAUCCGCGCUGCAUUAGCUAGUUGGUAAGGUAACGGCUUACCAAGGCAACGAUGCAUAGCCGACCUGAGAGGAUGAUCAGCCACACUGGAACUGAGGCACGGUCCAGACUCCUACGGGAGGCAGCAGUAGGGAAUCUUCCGCAAUGGGCGAAAGCCUGACGGAGCAACGCCGCGUGAGUGAUGAAGGUCUUCGGAUCGUAAAACUCUGUUAUUAGGGAAGAACAUAUGUGUAAGUAACUGUGCACAUCUUGACGGUACCUAAUCAGAAAGCCACGGCUAACUACGUG